rnacentral:lncRNA from 1 species
AACGGUUAUUGGAUUUAAACAUUUUUAAUGUAAAACUUUAUUGUCUUUAUUUUCAUUACUCUCCUAACUUUUAAUUAUCAUAACUAUAAAAUAAUUAAUAGUCAUAUUCAGGAAUAAGAAGUCAAAAUCUUUCAAUUCAUCAUAUUGGCUGUGGAAAAAUGGAGAUUUGGAUUUGAAUUUUUUUUUUCUCUCAAGUUGUAGUUUCAAAUCCGGACUUCUGAAGUCCGGGUUUCACCUAUAAAAUGGGGUGUUGCCAACCUCAGCAAAGGGGGGAAGAAAAAGGGGGCUUUAGAAAAAUCGAGAAGGAGGUCGAAAAUUGAAAGAAAAAGUGAAAACUAGUGUUGAAAAGAGUGAAAAUAGAGC